CCGUUUCCAAGAGGUCUGAUGACUCUUCAUUGCUGGACAUCUAUUGAUCACUGUGGGAAUCAGGCCUGAUGCUCACCUGUUUACUUAAGAGAUAAGUAAGAGGAAAAUAAAAAGCCUUUUUCUUCUUCCAUUAUUGUCCAAUGCUACCACUAUACCACAUUGAGAAGCAAGGGGUGCCCAUUUUAAUUCUACAGAGGCAGAGGAAAGGCCACGUGGGGACGCAGAGAAGGCGGGCGUCUACAAGCUGAGGAGAGAGGCCUCACGAAGAACCGGCACGCCCGACACCCUGACCUUGGACUUCCAGCCUCCAGACCUGUGACAACACAGAUUUCUGUUGUUUAAGCCACCCAGGCUGUGGUACCUACCACCCCAAAGCUGGUGAAUCUUUAUCCAUACCUCCAGCUUUA